AGCAGUUAUGGAGACAAGACCCAGUUUAAACAACACAGAAUGACAUGCUGCUACAAAGUAGAACCUUAUAAACCACAAAAUUACAGAAAUAUUUAUUUUUUUAAAUUUUUUUAUUUAAAAAACUCUGAAAAUGCACUUCGAGUAUUUCAGGAUCUGUUCUCUCAAAACAACGGAGUGGCUCCAGCUUGAUAACAAGAAGAAAUGUCCAUUACUCAGUUGUGUGUAACAGAUGUAAUAAGAAGACAACUGGCUCAGGGCAUUUUGAAGUGGCAGGUUCCAUUUUCCAGUCAUAUGAAGUGGUCAAAUAAAAGAGGUCGAAAAAAGAACAAACAACAACAGUUUCAUGGGGAGCAAAGGCCAUUCUGCCUGGUCCGAUCCUACCGAAGAGAUAAGGAAAUAGUCAUUGAAUCAGCCAUAAACCCUGUUCCUGUUGUGUGUGAUGAAGAUUUCAGACCUUCAUUGAGAUGUUUUCGGACAUUCUAAAAGGAGAUGCCAACUACAUGUGGUCUUUGAGGACAACAACCUCCUCAUCAGUGCACAAUUGUCAGACUGUAUAUUUAUAAAAUCACACCCUCCAGUGUCACCCAAAUGAGGAUGAGGUUCCCUUUUGAGUCUGGUUCCUCUCAAGGGUUUCUUCCUCCUCCAUCGAAGGGAGUUUUUCCUUAUAAAAGGUCACCUCCGUCAUGUCAGGCUCACUCAUUGGGGAUAAAAACAAACAUUUAAAUACAAUAUUAAUCUUGAAAUUUUCUACUAUAUUAAACUUUGUAUAAUAAUA